CCUACGGGCGGCAGCAGUAGGGAAUCUUCCACAAUGGGCGCAAGCCUGAUGGAGCAACACCGCGUGAGUGAAGAAGGGUUUCGGCUCGUAAAGCUCUGUUGUUGGAGAAGAACGUGCGUGAGAGUAACUGUUCACGCAGUGACGGUAUCCAACCAGAAAGUCACGGCUAACUACGUUCCAGCAGCCGCGGUAAUACGUAGGUGGCAAGCGUUAUCCGGAUUUAUUGGGCGUAAAGGGAGCGCAGGCGGUUGCUUAGGUAUGAUGUGAAAGCCUUCGGCUUAACCGAAGAAGUGCAUCGGAAACCGGGCGAAUAGAGAGUAGAAGAGGAGAGUGGAACGCAAUGGGUAGCGGUGGAAUGCGUAGAUAUA
rnacentral:rRNA from 1 species